GACGAACGCUGGCGGCGUGCUUAACACAUGCAAGUCGAACGGAAAGGCCCUGCUUUUGUGGGGUGCUCGAGUGGCGAACGGGUGAGUAACACGUGAGUAACCUGCCCUUGACUUUGGGAUAACUUCAGGAAACUGGGGCUAAUACCGGAUAGGAGCUCCUGCUGCAUGGUUGGGGUUGGAAAGUUUCUGCGGUUGGGGAUGGACUCGCGGCUUAUCAGCUUGUUGGUGGGGUAGUGGCUUACCAAGGCUUUGACGGGUAGCCGGCCUGAGAGGGUGACCGGCCACAUUGGGACUGAGAUACGGCCCAGACUCCUACGGGAGGCAGCAGUGGGGAAUAUUGCACAAUGGGCGGAAGCCUGAUGCAGCAACGCCGCGUGGGGGAUGACGGCCUUCGGGUUGUAAACCGCUUUCGCCUGUGACGAAGCGUGAGUGACGGUAAUGGGUAAAGAAGCACCGGCUAACUACGUG
rnacentral:rRNA from 1 species